CAUGGUUCUUCGAAUUUUCUGGAUCAUAGUAGAUGUACUGAAAACUGGCAGGGUGCAGUUCAAUUGUCCAAAUUUCAAACAAAUUCUUUGCCUUUGAGUGAACCAUUCAGUCAUGAUCCAUUAUCCAGUAGUAACUUGAGAGGCAAUAUAUCAUCCACCAGCUCCCAGAUAGGUAACAGCCCGAAUGAUUUUUCUUCUUCUAGUGUGCUUGCCACACCUUUAGAUUCCAGAGUAGACGUGGAAGGGCAAACAGACUUGAUUGGUAAUAUUGUGCAGAAUAUGAGUUACAAUUCAAGGCAGAGGUGGGAAGAACAUAGCCAGGAUUAUAAUCCAAACCUAAAUAACUCAUUCAGCACCAUAAACACAAUGGUUUCUGGCAAUGGUGGUGUGGGUUCAUUGAGCCAUAGUAUGGACCAAAGAAAGAA
rnacentral:misc_RNA from 1 species